CACGUUAGGGGUGGUUCGAAGAGUAGGUGUACGCAGUUACCACCCGUAGUCCUUUGAUUAGGGGUCAGACACGUACCUAGAGCUGCUGGAGCAUCUACCGCUCCCCCUCACGCCCUACGCGACGAGUUUGAAGAGUACAGGCCUCCGAGCGCCGCCACCGCCUCCAAGACCUAGAACCACCGCACCGCCUCCAUGACCCCAUCGAGGGCCUACCCUCUUAUACUCGUUCUACACUGGUUGUAGACACCCGCCGACGAAUCAACAACGGGACUAUCGACCACUACAACCUGAGGAUGGUUUACACUCUUCGUCAACCCGUACUGAAACAACCUACAGCUCAAAAUCCGGCGUACUUCACAGACCGGAACGAAGUAGUCUGUAGCUCGAUGUGCCGGGCACCACCAAAAAUGACUGAUUAUGAACACCCCGAAGGAAGCGCGAAGCAGAAUGGCCGUAUGAAGCUACAAGAACCACCGAACAAACUCAACGGGAAAAAGGACUGAUGAUG
rnacentral:rRNA from 1 species